CAGUCGCCACGGUAAUACGUAGGUGGCAAGCGUUGUCCGGAAUUAUUGGGCGUAAAGGGCUCGCAGGCGGUUUCUUAAGUCUGAUGUGAAAGCCCCCGGCUCAACCGGGGAGGGUCAUUGGAAACUGGGAAACUUGAGUGCAGAAGAGGAGAGUGGAAUUCCACGUGUAGCGGUGAAAUGCGUAGAGAUGUGGAGGAACACCAGUGGCGAAGGCGACUCUCUGGUCUGUAACUGACGCUGAGGAGCGAAAGCGUGGGGAGCGAACAGGAUUAGAUACCCCUGUAGUCCCUGUCUCUUAUAA
rnacentral:rRNA from 1 species